UGUUGGCGUUACAUAGCAGGCGUAAAAAUCUUCUAAGUGGAAGACGUUCAUUCUUCCGUGUUUAUGGUGUAAGUAAACAAACCUAGCAAAGUGCUUCUAAAAAAAAAUGCCGCAAAAUAUCAUAGACCCUCCACCGCCCGAAAACCAUCAUCUUGCUGGAAUGCCCACAAAUCUUUUAUACAACGGCUCUCGAUUCAACGGACAUCAAAAAAGCAAAGGCAAUUCAUACGAUGUUGAAGUGGUUUUACAGUAUGUUGAUCUAAAGAAUGCUUACCUAUGUGGCUAUCUGAAAAUCAAAGGGCUUACAGAAGAAUAUCCAAUACUUACAACAUUUUUCGACGGUGAAAUCAUCAGUGAAAAGCAUCCAUUUUUAACUCGUAAGUGGGAUGCUGAUGAAGAUGUGGACAGGAAACACUGGGGGAAAUUUUUAUCAUUUUUUAAAUUAGCAAAAAGUUUUAAUUCCGACACAUUUGACUAUGAUGAACUUCAAAAGACAGAUUGUGUAUUUAUGCGGUGGAAGGAACACUUCUUAGUGCCAAACCACAAGAUUACAGACAUAAAUGGAGCAUCAUUUGCUGGAUUUUACUACAUCUGCUUCUGGAAAUCUAAUUCUACCAUUGAAGGUUAUUAUUAUCACCGAAGUUCUGAAUGGUACCAGUCCUUAAAACUGGAACACGUCAGUGAACAGAGCGCCCCUGUCUAUGCAUUCCGAUGACAAGUGUGAGUUCUCAGUGUGGGCAUAGUGCGUAUGUGUCUAACUGCUUGCCUAAUUGCCUGUGAAACCUAAACCAUCAGCAUAUACCUGCCAAGCCCUUCUAUUCCAUGCAAGCCUUUUUAUCAACUUCCAGUUCAUUGAGUCUUGGUGGUUUCCAGGAAAUUAGGAUCUUCUGUGCAUCAUUAGACAGCAUUAGUGUCAUUUCUUUGUCUUUAUAUCCUGUAGAGUUAGGUCCUAACUAUGGUCAUGGGGUGUUACAGAGUAAGAUGUCACUCAGUUACUUUGCAAUCACAUGGCCUUGAGUUCAAUCCCACUCCAAAACCUUGUGAAUGGAUGAUUUGAUAAGCAGAAACUGGAAGCAGUCCAUCAUAUAAAACUGCAAUUGGGAACCGGCCGUCAUUGAAUAGUCUGUGAAGACCUUUGGUGAACAUGUCAGUCUAUAUAUUUGAAUAUAUAUAUACAGCCUGCUGUGCUCCCUCUCUUUUUUUCCCUCCCUAUCCGCCACUCUUUACUACUCGAAAACUGGUGAUGACAGUCCUGCUUCCGGAGACUGGAAGGAGCAUACACACAUAUACACACACCUGCAAUUUUAGGCAAACUUCCUGUGGACAUUGGAGUUUUGUGACUGGCUAGUUGGCUGGUUGUCACUCUGUACCCUUAAUGUCUUCCCUUUUCUCACUCUGUACACAUUUACAUAAAUGUACACACACAUACAAACAUAUAUAUAUAUAUAU
rnacentral:misc_RNA from 1 species